AUAUUUGCCGAAAUAUAUUUAAUAAUGUUUUUAUAAUACGAAUAUUGAAUUUAAAUAGUUUAAAAAACGCUCCUGCCGCUUUCACUGCUAAUCGUCCAGAAACGCCGAUGGAGCACCCUUCUUUUUCUUGGAUUUCGACUGUCCCGCCUUAGUUUUUGCUUCUGGCUUUUUUCCUGCCUUGACGGCUGCGUUCGGUGUGCAACGAACACGAGCAGAAGGUGUUUUGGUCUUCUUGCCCUUUCGUUGCUUGCUAUUCUUGCCCGGCAGCGGACCCUUUGCCUUCACACAACUUAGUGUCUGGCUGUGCGUGUAGCUGGGCCGCCAUCAAAGUCCAUAAUGCACUUUCGCUGUAAUUUUGUUUGUUUUGAUUGGUAUAUUUGCCGAAAUAUAUUUAAUAAUGUUUUUAUAAUACGAAUAUUGAAUUUAAAUAGUUUAAAAAACGCUCCUGCCGCUUUCACUGCUAAUCGUCCAGAAACGCCGAUGGGGAGCAUGUCAACUUUUUGCAUUUUUGGUUUCACACACUUCUUCACAGGAGCACCCUUCUUUUUCUUGGAUUUCGACUGUCCCGCCUUAGUUUUUGCUUCUGGCUUUUUUCCUGCCUUGACGGCUGCGUUCGGUGUGCAACGAACACGAGCAGAAGGUGUUUUG